ACAGAAGUGGUUGGGCGUCGUGAGGAACGCAUCGGCGGCAGAACACUCAAGCGGCUGGUUGUUGAGAGCACGCCAGCUGAAGAGCACCCCUGCACACUGGCAGGCCAUCCACAGGUGUCAGAAACUCAGCUCAGCUGGAAGAAACUUGAUGUACCAGGUAUCAGAGUAGCAAGUAAAGCCACAAGCCAAAAAUGAAAGAGAAUCUUUUAAGUGCUUAUCGUGAUGGUGUAAGUAAUUGUCCAAAAGAAACGCCGAUUCCUUCUGUUCCAUUUUUACCUGUGGAUUGUGGAUUGAAAUAACCAUUGGACCAUGAGGAGAGACUCUGAAGAGAGCUUGUUGCAAUAAGUGUAGCCAGUAUGGUCCAGAAUAAUGAAUCCUGUACUCUGUUGCUAAAGAGUGUCUCUUGAAGAAUUGAGAUUAUGUUUGAAUUCCUUCAUGAGCUCUCCCCUUGAAAAAGCAGGUUAGAUUUGACAUUUGUAAUAUCUUUUUCACUAACAGACACUGUUAGUUGUUUGAAAUUAUGUAUAGUAGUCCCAAGCAUUAUUAUCUCUAGAUGAAAAAAUGGAAUUAAUAUUGUUUACCUAGAGUGUUAAUGGCAUUACAGAUAUCCUUGAGUGUAUGCAUUUUUAAAAGAUUAUUACUUUCUACAUUUGAAAAGGAAUUUUUAUCUCCUCAUAAAGAUGGAAUAAAAGGACCACAUUUACUCUCCUGCCUGAAACAACAAAAGACAAGGCAAUUACAUGAAAUAACUGUUUUCAAGACACUAGACAUCAGGCAGCAAGGACAAUGAUCCCUAAGGGACACACAAAAAAUAAAAUAAGCUCUAUGAUUUCUCUAUUUACUGCCUUGAGAGAGAUUCCAAGUUGUGGCAUUGGUAGGGUGAACCUAGGUGUAAUGCAAAGACCUUCUGUGUUGAGAUUCAGCUAAGAGAAGCAGGAGAUCAAGACUGCUGAACUUUCUGGACAAAUUAUCAGAGAACAGAGAGCUGCAUAGAGAGAGAGAACUCCAGAGGUCUCCUGAGGUCCUCCCUUAAGUAUUCAGAAUAUGGAUUGACACAGAUGAAAAUCACAACAGCAAUGAUUGAUUUCACAAAUUAUGAGACCAGAUAAAGAAAGUACCUCUGAAAUGAUUAGAGAUAAGGGUGUCUGGCACUUACAUAUAGCUGAGAACAUUGUCUGCUUCUAUCAGCCAGAUGUAAAAGCCUCAUAAUUUAUAGGGCACUUAGUAGGGUACUCAGAAAGGUCUUGCUUUAGUGGUGCAAAAUAAUAACAUGCAGACUAAAUCCUCCUCUGGAGAAGGAUCGCAAAAAUGAAAAGCCAUGCUACAAACUAGGAAAAAUACAUUUAAGUCACAUAUCUGAUAAUGGACUUGUGUUCAGAAUAUAUAAACUACUCCCAAAACUCAGUAAUAGAAAAACAGUUUAUCAAAAAAUGAGCAA
rnacentral:lncRNA from 10 species